GUCCACGGCCAUGCCACCCUGAACAAGCCCGAUCCCGUCUGAUCUCGGAAACUAAGCAGGGUCAGGCCUGGUUAGUACUUGGAUGAAAAAUCAUCUAGGAAGACCAGGUGCUGUAGGUG
rnacentral:rRNA from 1 species